GACCUGCCCACUGAAAAUUUUUAAAUGGCCGCAGUAUACUGACUGUGCAAAGGUAGCAUAAUCAUUAGUCUUUUAAUUGAAGGCUGGUAUGAAUGGUUGGACGAGAUAUUAACUGUUUCAUAAAAAUUUAUAAUAGAAUUUUAUUUUUUAGUCAAAAAGCUAAAAUUUAUUUAAAAGACGAGAAGACCCUAUAAAUCUUUAUAUUUAUUUAAUUAUAAUUUUUUAGAUUAAUUUUAUUAUAAUUAUUGAUAAUAUUUUAUUGGGGUGAUAUUAAAAUUUAAUAAACUUUUAAUUUUAAAUAAUCAUUAAUUUAUGAAUAAUUGAUCCGUUAUUAACGAUUAUAAAAAUAAGUUACUUUAGGGAUAACAGCGUAAUUUUUUUGGAGAGUUCAUAUCGAUAAAAAAGAUUGCGACCUCGAUGUUGGAUUAAGAUAUAAUUUUAGGUGUAGUCGCUUAAAUUUUAAGUCUGUUCGACUUUUAAAUUCUUACAUGAUCUGAGUUCAAACCGGUGUAAGCCAGGUUGGUUUCUAUCUUUAAAAA
rnacentral:rRNA from 1 species